rnacentral:misc_RNA from 1 species
CCCUUGUGGAGGAGGACGCCGAAGGUGGGGCUAAUGACUGGGGUGAAGUCGUAACAAGGUAGCCGUACCGGAAGGUGCGGCUGGAUCACCUCCUAACAGGGAGACAACAAAAUGUUUAAUAUUAUUAUUUUGUCACCUUAGGUCGAUCGGUAUCUCACGUUCUUAAUUUAUUAAGAAUUUCAUUUCCUAAGUUUUUCUAGGUCACACCCAUUAUUUUUUCCUGGGCCAUUAGCUCAGGUGGUUAGAGCGCACCCCUGAUAAGGGUGAGGUCCCUGGUUCAAGUCCAGGAUGGCCCAUAUCUCUCUAUGUUGGGGGUAUAGCUCAGUUGGUAGAGCGCCUGCUUUGCAAGCAGGAUGUCAGCGGUUCGAGUCCGCUUACCUCCACUGAUUACCACCUCUGCAUAAUCUGUAGAAAGGAAAUAUUUUGAGUUGUGACCAAAUUCUGAACGACUCUAGCUUCCUAAUGUAAUCAUUAAGAUGCUGGACUCAUUGGAUUAAUUUCAUUGAUUUCAGAGAACCUUGACAACUGCAUAGAUUUUUUUAAAGACAAUAAGCAUCUUUAUGAUGCAGAUUUAUUAUUUGUGCGAAUGCAUUAAUAACAAUUCUAUUAAGCUGAUGCUUCAAUUUUUGAAGUUAUUGGUCAAGCUACAAAGGGCUCACGGAGGAUACCUA